rnacentral:rRNA from 1 species
UACGUAGGGUGCAAGCGUUGUCCGGAAUUAUUGGGCGUAAAGAGCUCGUAGGCGGUCUGUCGCGUCGGAUGUGAAAACCCAGGGCUCAACCCUGGGCCUGCAUUCGAUACGGGCAGGCUGGAGGCUGGUAGGGGCAAGCGGAAUUCCUGGUGUAGCGGUGAAAUGCGCAGAUAUCAGGAGGAACACCGGUGGCGAAGGCGGCUUGCUGGGCCAGUUCUGACGCUGAGGAGCGAAAGCGUGGGGAGCGAACAGG